AACAGGCCCAGUUCCUAUUGGAAAAAACAAAACAAAACAAAAACAAAACGAAAAACCAACAAGAUUUAAUGGUGAUCACUUCGGGCUUGAGAACGGAUGCCCUUAGCUGACCCAGGAAACUGGUGAAAAUAAUGUUUAAACCCCUGACCUUUUAUUUUAAAGCCUUGGGAAAUGGUCUUAAGAGCAAACAGCAAACAAAGAAACAUCUAUUUAUAUGUGAACAUUCUGUAAGAAAGGUGAGCAUUUGCGGUAUCUGUGUCAAGACUGCAUCCUCCUCCUCAGCUUGGCCAGGAGGAGACUCUGUGUGGAAUGGCUGCAGCCACAGACACAGCCCUCCUACCCCCACCCCACCCACAGCUCCCAGUCAUGGGGGCUUCUUCCCCCGGAAGGGGCCGACAUCACCAUCUCACAUUCUGCCUUCAGCUCCUGGGGCUAGGUCCUUGGGGAGUCCGGUGGAGGGUGGGGCACCCUCCUCCUGCCCAGUCCCCACUCAUGGGUGGGAGGCUGGCCUUGGGUGUCACGGGUGGGAGGCUGGCCUUGGGUGUGGCACACUGAGAAGAUAGGGCCUGACUGCCCUUGCUGCAGUGAUUCCAGGCCAGGAGAGGCCGAUGGGGUCUCAGGGUGCCGCCCCUGCAUCAAGCUCUCAGCUCCUAGAGAGGGAGGGUGUCAUUCACACUGAGGCUUGCCCUUGUCCCCAUCCCCCAAAUCCGUGGCUCAGAGAUUUCUGCCAGGAGGGAGAUACAGGAAGUAAUCUCCUCUCAAAGAAACUGACCUCAUUUGCAACAGAACAUGAAGAAGCUUAGACCUAAGAACACUCUCAACACUAUCAGUGGUGGAGGUGGAGUGAAUUAGCAGAUUCAUGCAUCUGCUGACCAUGUAGCCUAGAUGCAGGCUGGCUAGGGUGCUGGGGAAUGAGGGGAGAAGACAGCUGGCAGGAGCCCUCCUGGGGUCAGAACAAUGUCAGACACUCUCAGAAAGCAAUAAGAAGGAGCUGCAAUAUGAUCAGGUUGUAGAGGAAUAACAGAGCUCUCAGCUGGCAACUUGGAGUUUUAACUACUGGGUGUGGUCAAUGAGACAGAGGAAGAGGUUGCUCCCCAACCAUGUCCCUCCGUGUCCCCACAGGCAUCUGCCUCAUCUCCCCCCCUGACUGUCCCGUCCCUAUGUCCCUGUGACCCUAUGCCCCCAUGUCCCUGUCCCCAUGUCCCUCCCUGUGUCCCUGUCCCUGUGUCCCCUCAGGCAUCUCUCUCACAUUCCUAUGUCCCUGUCCCCAUGUCCCUAUGUCCCCAUCCCCAUGUCCCUGUCCCCAUGUCCCCACAAGCAUCUCCCUCGUGUCCCCUGUGUGUCCCCGUCCCAUGUCCCCUGGCAGGUCACCAGGUUGCACACCCAGGACAGAAGCCAGGCAGGCUGGCCCCAGGGCACUGUCCUAACCACUGGUCAAGUGUCCCUGGCGGGGCUUGGGGACCAGCGGGGCAGGAGCGCCUGGGCUGUGUAUCCUGAAUGCCCCCCUGCCCACAACAAGGAGGGACCGGGUGCAGCUGCACUCACGGUCAGACACCGCCUGGACCGGCUCUGCCCACGGUUAGAGACCACCUGUGGAGCCACAGGUGGGACAGUCGGCGGGCACGUUUCCGGAACUUUCAACCCAGAAAACAGACCCUGAUUGAUCAGAUUUGAUGCAUCUGGUCUACUUGGCCAAAAAUCAGGUUUCAGGCAUGGUGUCUCGGCUGCAUCACCGACCCGCAUGCUGCUGUUUCUAUGAACGUGAAAAGCGAGUUUGCUCCCAUGCGCAGGAACCUGUGGGUAAACCGGUCCCAAGUUCCUGGGCCCCAGGAUGAGCCCCCCUGAGGAACACAGAGCCAGGCGGACCCCUGCCCCCGUGGCUCCUCGAUCAUGAACCCAUGCAUCUGUGCGCCUCGGGUGUGCCUGGUCACUUUGGAAACCACAAGCAUUUCUCAGCUCUAGGUAGAAAACACAAAGCAACGAUGAAAGAAAUCCCAGAAUCUAGAAUUCCUGCCCUAUGGCCCGGGGAGCUGCCGCGCCCAGGCCCAGAUCCAGCCCUCCUCCUCUGCCGCAUCGGGACAUCACAGCCUGGCUCUCCCCCAGGGACCCAGUGGCCGGGGCUCCAUCCCACUGGGGGAGCUGAGGAGGGGAACCAGCCAGUCCCUGCCAGGUAUCCCACAGGCCAUCACAGCGUGGCUUCCUGACCUGGCCUCUUCGGCGUCGCGCCCUCCGAGCUCACUGGUGCUGUCCCGGGCCCCCACCGUCUGCUGCUUUUCACUGCGGAGCCAGCCCACUGUGGAUGCCCCAGGGUUGAUCCGGCAGCGGCUGUCGCCGUCCGUGUUGGCUGCUUCCAGGCUGGGCUGUGAUGAAUAAAGUGGCUGAACCCUCGCUCUGUACGUGAUACACGCUGUCCUUCCCAUGGGUACGUCCUGGGCAUGGGUGCUGGUGUGCAAUGAGCGCAGGUGUGCCCGGUGUCCA